CAGGCUUAACACAUGCAAGUCGAGGGGCAGCAUGGUCUUAGCUUGCUAAGACUGAUGGCGACCGGCGCACGGGUGAGUAACACGUAUCCAACCUGCCGUCUACUCUUGGACAGCCUUCUGAAAGGAAGAUUAAUACAAGAUGGCAUCAUGAGUCCGCAUGUUCACAUGAUUAAAGGUAUUCCGGUAGACGAUGGGGAUGCGUUCCAUUAGAUAGUAGGCGGGGUAACGGCCCACCUAGUCUUCGAUGGAUAGGGGUUCUGAGAGGAAGGUCCCCCACAUUGGAACUGAGACACGGUCCAAACUCCUACGGGAGGCAGCAGUGAGGAAUAUUGGUCAAUGGGCGAGAGCCUGAACCAGCCAAGUAGCGUGAAGGAUGACUGCCCUAUGGGUUGUAAACUUCUUUUAUAAAGGAAUAAAGUCGGGUAUGGAUACCCGUUUGCAUGUACUUUAUGAAUAAGGAUCGGCUAACUCCGUGCCAGCAGCCGCGGUAAUACGGAGGAUCCGAGCGUUAUCCGGAUUUAUUGGGUUUAAAGGGAGCGUAGAUGGAUGUUUAAGUCAGUUGUGAAAGUUUGCGGCUCAACCGUAAAAUUGCAGUUGAUACUGGAUAUCUUGAGUGCAGUUGAGGCAGGCGGAAUUCGUGGUGUAGCGGUGAAAUGCUUAGAUAUCACGAAGAACUCCGAUUGCGAAGGCAGCCUGCUAAGCUGCAACUGACAUUGAGGCUCGAAAGUGUGGGUAUCAAACAGGAUUAGAUACCCUGGUAGUCCACACGGUAAACGAUGAAUACUCGCUGUUUGCGAUAUACUGCAAGCGGCCAAGCGAAAGCGUUAAGUAUUCCACCUGGGGAGUACGCCGGCAACGGUGAAACUCAAAGGAAUUGACGGGGGCCCGCACAAGCGGAGGAACAUGUGGUUUAAUUCGAUGAUACGCGAGGAACCUUACCCGGGCUUAAAUUGCAGAUGAAUUACGGUGAAAGCCGUAAGCCGCAAGGCAUCUGUGAAGGUGCUGCAUGGUUGUCGUCAGCUCGUGCCGUGAGGUGUCGGCUUAAGUGCCAUAACGAGCGCAACCCUUGUUGUCAGUUACUAACAGGUUCCGCUGAGGACUCUGACAAGACUGCCAUCGUAAGAUGUGAGGAAGGUGGGGAUGACGUCAAAUCAGCACGGCCCUUACGUCCGGGGCUACACACGUGUUACAAUGGGGGGUACAGAGGGCCGCUACCACGCGAGUGGAUGCCAAUCCUCAAAACCUCUCUCAGUUCGGACUGGAGUCUGCAACCCGACUCCACGAAGCUGGAUUCGCUAGUAAUCGCGCAUCAGCCACGGCGCGGUGAAUACGUUCCCGGGCCUUGUACACACCGCCCGUCAAGCCAUGGGAGCCGGGGGUACCUGAAGUGCGUAACCGCGAGGAGCGCCCUAGGGUAAAACUGGUGACUGGGGCUAAG
rnacentral:rRNA from 1 species